GGCGAGUGAAGCGGCAAAAGCUCAAAUUUGAAAUCUGGUACCUUCGGUGCCCGAGUUGUAAUUUGGAGAGGGCAACUUUGGGGCCGUUCCUUGUCUAUGUUCCUUGGAACAGGACGUCAUAGAGGGUGAGAAUCCCGUGUGGCGAGGAGUGCGGUUCUUUGUAAAGUGCCUUCGAAGAGUCGAGUUGUUUGGGAAUGCAGCUCUAAGUGGGUGGUAAAUUCCAUCUAAAGCUAAAUAUUGGCGAGAGACCGAUAGCGAACAAGUACAGUGAUGGAAAGAUGAAAAGAACUUUGAAAAGAGAGUGAAAAAGUACGUGAAAUUGUUGAAAGGGAAGGGCAUUUG
rnacentral:rRNA from 1 species